rnacentral:rRNA from 1 species
GCCCAACAGCUAGCCCUCCCACCAAAAACAACACACCCCCAUAAAUAACCCCAAAUACACUAGUAUUAUGUUAAACAAACCAUUUUUCCCCCCAAGUAUGGGCGACAGAAAAGGGACUACGGAGCAAUAGAGAAAGUACCGCAAGGGAACGCUGAAAGAGAAGUGAAAGAACCCAGUAAAGCCUUAAAAAGCAGAGAUUUUAACUCGUACCUUUUGCAUCAUGAUUUAGCUAGAAACACCCAGGCAAAGAGAACUUUAGUCUGAUUCCCCGAAACUAAGUGAGCUACUCCAAGACAGCCUAUUAAUAGGGCACACCCGUCUCUGUGGCAAAAGAGUGGGAAGAGCUUUGAGUAGAGGUGAUAGACCUACCGAACUUAGUUAUAGCUGGUUGCCUGAGAAAUGGAUAGAAGUUCAGCCUCUCGGCUUCUUUUUUCACCCCGUCUUACACCCCACAGACACCCAAAGAAACCGCGAGAGUUAUUCAAAGGGGGUACAGCCCCUUUGAAACAAGACACAACUUUUCCAGGAGGGUAAAGAUCAUAUUAAGCCAAAGUAAAAUGUUUGGGUGGGCCUAAAAGCAGCCAUCCCUAUAGAAAGCGUUAAAGCUCAGACAUAUCAACUUCCUCCUUAUUCCGAUAACUAAUCUUAACCCCCUAAUUUUACCAGGCCGCCCCAUGCAAUCAUGGGAGUGACCAUGCUAAUAUGAGUAAUAAGAGAGCCCCGACUCUCUCCCUGCACACGUGUAAGUCGGAACGGACUAACCACCGAACCUUAACGGCCCCAAGCAAAGAGGGUAAUGAAUAAUAGACCAAACAACUAGAAGAACAUUCAAUUUUUUAGCCGUUAAACCCACACUGGUGUGCCCCCUGGGAAAGACUAAAAGAAAAAGAAGGAACUCGGCAAACAUAUGAAGCCUCGCCUGUUUACCAAAAACAUCGCCUCUUGCUGAACAUAAAAAUAAGAGGUCCCGCCUGCCCUGUGACUGUAAGUUUAACGGCCGCGGUAUUUUGACCGUGCGAAGGUAGCGCAAUCACUUGUCUUUUAAAUGAAGACCUGUAUGAAUGGCAUAACGAGGGCUUAGCUGUCUCCUUUUUCUAGUCAAUGAAAUUGAUCUCCCCGUGCAGAAGCGGGGAUAAGACCAUAAGACGAGAAGACCCUAUGGAGCUUUAGACACUAAGGUGAAUCAUGUUAAACACCCCUAAAUAAAGGGCCAAACCAAGUGAAAAUUACCCCGAUGUCUUUGGUUGGGGCGACCGCGGGGAAAUACAAAACCCCCAUGUGGAACGGGAACACUUCCUCCUACAACUAAGAGCCCCCGCUCUAGUUAACAGAACUUCUGACCAACAAGAUCCGGCUAACGCCGAUCAACGGACCGAGUUACCCUAGGGAUAACAGCGCAAUCCCCUUUUAGAGCCCAUAUCGACAAGGGGGUUUACGACCUCGAUGUUGGAUCAGGACAUCCUAAUGGUGCAGCCGCUAUUAAGGGUUCGUUUGUUCAACGAUUAAAGUCCUACGUGAUCUGAGUUCAGACCGGAGUAAUCCAGGUCAGUUUCUAUCUAUGCUAUGAUUUUUUCUAGUACGAAAGGACCGAAAAGAAGAGGCCCAUGCUUCAAGUAUGCCUCACCCCCACCUAAUGAAAACAACUAAAAUAGGCAAAAGGGCAUGCCCCCUUUGCCUGAGAUUACGGCA